UGACCCCAUAACAGCCCCAUAGUGACCCCAUAGAGCUCCAUAGUGACCCCAUAAAAGCCCCACAGAGACCCCAUAGAGCUCCAUAGUGACCUCAUAACAGCCCCAUAGUGACCCCAUCGAGCCCCAUAGGGACCCCAUAACAGCCCCAUAGCGACCCUAUAGAGCUUAAUAGAGCCCCACAGUGACCUCAUAGAGCCCCAUAGGGACCCCAUAACAGCCCCAUAGCGACCCUAUAGAGCUCAAUAGGGACCCCAUAUACCUCCACGGUGACCCCAUAGAGCCCCAUAGCGACCUCAUAGAGCUCCACAGUGACCCCAUAGAACCCCAUAGUGACCCCAUAACAGCCCCAUAGUGACCCCAUAGAACCCCAUAGUGACCCCAUAGAGCUCCAUAGGGAUAUGGGGAGGUUUGAGGUGGAAGGGUCCUGGAAGGUCACAGAGAUACGGACUGGUUGCUGUGGAAGGGUCCUGGAAGGUCACAGAGCUAUGGAGUGGUUUGGAUAGAAGGGUCCUGGAAGGUCACAGCAAUACGGAGUGAUUGGGGCGGAAGGGUCCUGGAAGGUCACAGAGAUGUGGGGUGGUUGGGGCGGAAGGGUCCUGGAAGGUCACAGAGAUGUGGGGUGGUUGGGGCGGAAGGGUCCUGGAAGGUCACAGCAAUACGGGGUGGUGGGGCUGGAAGGGUCCUGGAAGGUCAUCACUGAAUGGGUUUUAUUGGAAGGGUCCUGGAAGGUCAUCACUGAAUGGAUGGGAUUGGAAAGGUCCUGGAAGGUCAUCACUGAGUGGGUUGGAUUGGAAAGGUCCUGGAAGGUCGUUGUAGAGUGGGUUGGAUUGGAAGGGUCCUGGAAGGUCAUCACUGAACGGGUUGGACUGGAAGGGUCCUGGAAGGUCAUCACUGAAUGGAUGGGAUUGGAAAGGUCCUGGAAGGUCAUCACUAAAUGGACAUGGUUGGAAGGGUCCUGGAAGGUCAUCACUGAAUGGAUGGGAUUGGAAAGGUCCUGGAAGGUCAUCACUGAAUGGAUGGGAUUGGAAGGGUCCUGGAAGGUCAUCACUGAAUGGAUGGGAUUGGAAAGGUCCUGGAAGGUCUCAUUAAAUGGACGGGAUUGGAAAGGUCCUGGAAGGUCAUCACUGAAUGGAUGGGGUUGGAAAGGUCCUGGAAGGUCAUCACUGAAUGGAUGGGGUUGGAAAGGUCCUGGAAGGUCAUCACUGAACAGAUUUAAUUAGAAGGGUCCUGUAAGGUCAUUACUGAAUGGAUGGGAUUGGAAAGGUCCUGGAAGGUCAUCACUGAAUGGAUGGGAUUGGAAAGGUCCUGGAAGGUCAUCACUGAAUGGAUGGGAUUGGAAGGGUCCUGGAAGGUCAUCACUGAAUGGGUGGGGUUGGAAAGGUCCUGGAAGGUCAUCACUGAAUGGAUGGGGUUGGAAAGGUCCUGGAAGGUCAUCACUGAGUGGGUUUUAUUGGAAGGGUCCUGGAAGGUCAUCACUGAAUGGAUGGGGUUGCAAAGGUCCUGGAAGGUCAUCACUGAACGGGUUUUAUUGGAAGGGUCCUGGAAGGUCACCACUGAGUGGGUUUUAUUGGAAAGGUCCUGGAAGGUCUCUGGGAGAGGGACGGCGGCGCGCCGUGACGCCUCCCAUUGGCGCGCUCCUACCGGAAGUCCCGCCCCCCGCGCAUGCGCAG
ensembl:lncRNA